rnacentral:rRNA from 1 species
UACGAAGGGUGCGAAGCGUUACUCGGAAUUACUGGGCGUAAAGCGUGCGUAGGUGGUUUGUUAAGUCUGUUGUGAAAGCCCCGGGCUCAACCUGGGAAUGGCAAUGGAUACUGGCAAGCUAGAGUGCGGUAGAGGGUAGUGGAAUUCCCGGUGUAGCGGUGAAAUGCGUAGAGAUCGGGAGGAACACCAGUGGCGAAGGCGGCUACCUGGAACCAGCACUGACACUGAGGCACGGAAAGCGUGGGGAGCAAACAGG